rnacentral:lncRNA from 10 species
CUUUAUCUUUCAAUACUUCCAUGGUAUGAAUCAUGUUCAUCUGUGAGGUAUGAUGAGCUCCUCAUUGCUGUGGAUUUUAGCUAAAACUAAAAUUCACAGCAAUGCCACUCUUGCUGCAAACAUUGGGAUCAGCCGUGACUAUCCCAUAACAUAAUAUUUCUGAUUUCAUUCUUUUCCUUUCUCCUACCAAUUUAAUCUGCAAUCACUUCAAGAGAAGUCUGUUUAAAGGAUAUUCACAUUCUGUUCACAGAGUUUGAGAGAAACUGUAUUCAAGUUGCUGAAACCAAGAAGCUACACUCACGAGUCUCACCUAAACUCGAAUCUGAUUUAGAUGACAUCAUCCUGGACUUUGAGUUGAUGAAACCUUGGAGGUCUUGGGAGUAAAGCAAGUGUGAUUUGCAUAUGAUGGAUAUGAAUUGUAAUGGCCAGAGCAUGGCUGUGGUAGGUAACAUCUAGAGAUGGCCACCAUUAUUUUUUUUUUCCUCUAUCCGCACAUACUACUUCUCCUGUACUCUUGAAACUGGGAUGAAAUUAGCAACUUUGUUAACCAAUAUAAUGUGCCACAGAAGUGACUUUUGCGACUUGUGAGGUUAGAUCUUAAGAAGUCUUGUAUCUUCUUUCUGGAUCACUUGGAAUGCUUACUACGGGAACCAAGCCACUGUUCUAUGAGAAGUGCAAGUCACAUGGAGAAACCAUGUUUUGGCAAGCUAGUCUGCAUCUUCAGAUAUUAUAUGGAGAUGGUGUCAAACAACGGGAUGUGCUAUGGAAUUUGAUGUGGAGGCUGAAGGAAAGAGGAAUCUA